UCUAAGGCUUUCAUAUGUGUUGUCUUUAUGUAGUCAAUAAGUGUUGAACAGGAAAAAUGGGUUUAGGCGGCAAUAUGGUUUACUAGGUAUAAAAGUGGGGUUCUUGGAUCAAAGCCGAUCAACAUGGUUGAAACCAGAUGAUAUUCUGUAUUUAUUAUGUUUUUCUGCUUUGUUACCGUUCAUGUUUGAUUCAAAUUCAUGAUCACGUAAUUCAUUCUCAUAUUCAAUGAUAAGCUUGGGACAGGUGGAUGUGCCUGUUUAUGCAGCAGGAACUGGUGUUAAACCUGCAGAAAUAGCUAGGCAAGGUCUAGAAGAGGCCAAAAGGAAGAAUAUGGAUGUGGUCAUAGUGGACACAGCUGGAAGACUUCAGGUUUGGUAGAGGGAACUAGAAGCUCAUCUUAAAUUCAGAUCGUGACAUAUUUGAAGAGAGAACCGAGGUUGAUUUGAAGGACAAGUGGAGAAAUAUGAUACAUUACUAACUCUUAAAAACAGAAGAUGGUCUGCAGUUUGUAUUAUAGUUGAGGUAUGCCCGCCCCGACCCGACAAGUUCAUUGGAGAGAGGUUGUUAAAAUACAAGGGGUUGGCUAUAAACUCUUUACAUAUCUAAAAUAUGGCUUUAGAAACUUUUGUAUUGAAUAGUUGCUAUCAUAUUUUGUAGAUGUAGUUAAUGUUCUAACAAGCUAAGGUUUGUAAGGUAACCGAAAGGACAGUUCUUGCAUGUUGA